rnacentral:rRNA from 1 species
CGCACGGGUGAGUAACACGUAUCCAACCUGCCGUCUACUCUUGGCCAGCCUUCUGAAAGGAAGAUUAAUCCAGGAUGGCAUCAUGAGUUCACAUGUCCGCAUGAUUAAAGGUAUUUUCCGGUAGACGAUGGGGAUGCGUUCCAUUAGAUAGUAGGCGGGGUAACGGCCCACCUAGUCAACGAUGGAUAGGGGUUCUGAGAGGAAGGUCCCCCACAUUGGGACUGAGACACGGUCCAA